GGCCCAGGCAGCGCGAGGCGGCAGGUUCGCAUCUGCCGGCGGCGCCGGAGGGACGCGGCUGCGAGAGAAGAAAUAUUAUUUUCUGCAUACUUUGGUACAUUUAUAGAGGCACAGGAAACCACCAGUGACAUGUGCCUACUCUUGAUGUAACCACAUCUAAAAUAUUGUUGGUCUGUGACACAGGACAGAGUGACGUUUGAAAGAUGGAUUCGUGCUCCAGGCAGUAGCACUCAGCAGCAUUCCUCAACCUAGGAGGCAGGAAGAAGGAGAAACUUGCUCAGAGAGAGCAAGCUUCAGAGGCAACAUCCUGGGGGAACAACUUCCUGCUGAUGUUGAAGACAAGAGGUUCCCCUCCCCCCACUUCUUGUGACAGUACAGCUCCAAGGCUGACAUCAGAUGCAUCCAUUAAGUAUGAGGCUGGUCCAGAUUCGAAGGCAGAAAAAACAAACUCAAGAAGACAUGUUUGCCAAGCUCAUGCAGUCCUCUCGCACUGAUAAGGCCCAGCUGAAUACAUGGAGGCAAACAAUUGUGGAGUCCUGUAAAGCAUUACAGGAACACAAACAGAGGAGAGACGCACACGAUGAGAGCAGGCAGGACGCUAUGGUCAAGCUCAUGCGGGAGCAAACUGACAUGCUCCGCAGUAUGGUGGA